GCCCAAGAGAUCUUACCUCAUCGAAGCAAAUGGUUCGCUAAUCUAUGAUAGCGUGGCACGCUCGGUCAAGCUCGUGUGGUAUCGCAUACAUGGCGCCAGGCCACCUCCAAAUGCAUCCAGCCAGCUACAAAGGAAUG
rnacentral:lncRNA from 1 species